rnacentral:rRNA from 1 species
GACGAACGCUGGCGGCGUGCUUAACACAUGCAAGUCGAACGGAAAGGCCCCUUUGGGGGUACUCGAGUGGCGAACGGGUGCGUAACACGUGAGUAACCUGCCCUUGACUUCGGGAUAACUUCAGGAAACUGGGGCUAAUACCGGAUAGGAAUCCUUGCUGCAUGGGGGGGGUUGGAAAGCUUCGGCGGUUUUGGAUGGACUCGCGGCUUAUCAGCUUGUUGGUGGGGUAGUGGCUUACCAAGGCUUUGACGGGUAGCCGGCCUGAGAGGGCGACCGGCCACAUUGGGACUGAGAGACGGCCCAGACGCCUACGGGAGGCAGCAGUGGGGAAUAUUGCACAAUGGGCGGAAGCCUGAUGCAGCAACGCCGCGUGCGGGAUGACGGCCUUCUGGUUGUAAACCGCUUUCAGCAGGGGCGAAGCUUGUGGUGACGGUACCUGCAGAAGAAGCACCGGCUAACUACGUG